AGAACGAACGCUGGCGGCAGGCCUAACACAUGCAAGUCGAACGCCCCGCAAGGGGAGUGGCAGACGGGUGAGUAACACGUGGGAACAUACCCUUCGGUUCGGAAUAACUCAGGGAAACUUGAGCUAAUACCGGAUACGUCCUGGCGGAGAAAGAUUUAUCGCCGAAGGAUUGGCCCGCGUCCGAUUAGCUAGUUGGUGAGGUAAUGGCUCACCAAGGCGACGAUCGGUAGCUGGUCUGAGAGGAUGAUCAGCCACAUUGGGACUGAGACACGGCCCAAACUCCUACGGGAGGCAGCAGUGGGGAAUAUUGGACAAUGGGCGCAAGCCUGAUCCAGCCAUGCCGCGUGAGUGAUGACGGCCUUAGGGUUGUAAAGCUCUUUCGUCAGGGACGAUAAUGACGGUACCUGAAGAAGAAGCCCCGGCUAACUUCGUGCCAGCAGCCGC
rnacentral:rRNA from 1 species